rnacentral:rRNA from 1 species
AGAGUUUGAUCAUGGCUCAGAAUGAACGCUGGCGGCAUGCCUAACACAUGCAAGUCGAACGAAGCCUUCGGGCUUAGUGGCGCACGGGUGCGUAACGCGUGGGAAUCUGCCCUUGGGUUCGGAAUAACAGUUAGAAAUGACUGCUAAUACCGAAUGAUGUCGUAAGACCAAAGAUUUAUCGCCCAGGGAUGAGCCCGCGUAGGAUUAGCUAGUUGGUGUGGUAAAGGCGCACCAAGGCGACGAUCCUUAGCUGGUCUGAGAGGAUGAUCAGCCACACUGGGACUGAGACACGGCCCAGACUCCUACGGGAGGCAGCAGUGGGAAUAUUGGACAAUGGGCGAAAGCCUGAUCCAGCAAUGCCGCGUGAGUGAUGAAGGCCUUAGGGUUGUAAAGCUCUUUUACCCGGGAUGAUAAUGACAGUACCGGGAGAAUAAGCUCCGGCUAACUCCGUG